rnacentral:rRNA from 1 species
GAUGAACGCUAGCGGCAGGCCUAACACAUGCAAGUCGAACGGUAACAUGAGUAGCAAUACUUGAUGACGAGUGGCGCACGGGUGCGUAACGCGUAUGCAACUUACCUCUAACUGGAGAAUAGCCUUCCGAAAGGAAGAAUAAUACUCCAUAAUAUUACGAUGUGGCAUCACAUUGUUCUUAAAGCUUCGGCGGUUAGAGAUGGGCAUGCGUCUGAUUAGCUUGUUGGUGAGGUAACGGCUCACCAAGGCAACGAUCAGUAGGGGGCCUGAGAGGGUUAUCCCCCACACUGGUACUGAGACACGGACCAGACUCCUACGGGAGGCAGCAGUGAGGAAUAUUGGUCAAUGGACGAAAGUCUGAACCAGCCAUGCCGCGUGCAGGAUGAAUGCCCUAUGGGUUGUAAACUGCUUUUAUAUAGGAAUAAACCCCUUUACGUGUAAAGGGCUGAAGGUACUAUAAGAAUAAGGACCGGCUAACUCCGUGCCAGCAGCCG